UUCAUCAUCGCUCCCCUAGCUUCAAUGCGCCGUCCCCAAUCCCCCACCCCGCCGCCGCGGUUCAAAAAUUGAAAACGUCUGGUCCUCCGCGUCGCCUCGCCCACGGAGCGCUGCCGGUCUCUCUGCUCCUCGCCGGCCGCGGUCGUCUGUUGCUCGGCGGCCUCCGUCGCCCCCCGUGCCGCCCGGCCAGCGUGCGCUACGCGCAGCUGCCCUCAGGGCGGGGCCACCCGCGUCCGCCCCCUGGCCUCCGUGGGCCUCCGCAGGCCGUGCCCCGACGCCGUUCGCGUCCUUCAGGUGGGCCGGCCGUUCGCACCGCCGACCGGCCUCCGCGUCCCGUGCCCCGCCGCCCGCCGCCGUUCGCGUCCUUCAGGGCGGCGGGCCGCGUCCCUCACGGGCGGCGGCGCUCAGGGACGGGCCACCGGCCUCCCCGCCUGGCGUGCGGACCGGCCGCCGAGAGCCGCGGCCAUCUGCCCUCACCGCUCGGCGUCCUGCCCGGCCGCCGUGCACCCUGGGCGUCUGCCCUCUGGGCUGGGGCAAAGGCCUCUGCGCCGACCGUCCUGCCCGGACGCCGAGUGGCACGAGCGGCGGAAGGGGCUACGCGCCCACCGUGCAGGAGCGGGUGAAGAGGCGGCGGCGGGGCCGCGAGAAGAAGCUACUGCGUUCGGACAGCAUCGCGGACGGGAAAGGCAUUCCGCGGCCACCCACAAUCCGACGACUUCCUCCAGAAGAAGAAAAACCAGGCAAUUGCAUCGACGAAGAAGAAGAAACGUUUGUGCUUACAGUUUUCUUUGUUCUCUUCAUCAUUAUGUACUCUACAUUUUCUGUUUUUUGUUUCACUUUUAACUUGCCGUGACGAUUCAUUCGGUUCUGCGAUCUGUAAACUGCGGCAAUGUCAUACAUACUCACCAUGUUCCUCAUGUAACAAAUCAUGGUCCUGAAUUUAUGUGCCUACUUCAAUUGUUUGCCCAACCUCAAUUUAUGCAUUCUGUACUCAUGUUACUGCAUUUUGGCCUCAACCUGAAUUUUUCAGAUGUGCUCAUAACUUGGCCUGAACUUGAAUUUUUCAGAUGUGUUCACAAUUAUGCAUUUUCUAUCUUCCUUAAUUUUCAUUGGCCCAACCUUAUGCAAUGUGUGAUCAUGAUACUGCAUUUUGGGCUCAACCUUACUUUUUGCCAUGUGUGCACAAUAGGGCUGAACAUGAAAUUGUUUUUUCAUACUUUCGGUCAAAAUUACCGCUUCCUGGAUUCUAUAUAUUUAGAUUCUAUAUAUUUACUCUUUUUCGGUGUGAUGAGGUCAACAGUCAAGGUUAUUGCCGUCGAUCAAAGUAUGAACAACCCGCACCAAACACGAGCAUCCCUCAGCGAUAUCACCAACACACAGACCUCUGAACCAGCCGGUGCUAUAGAUGAUGCCGAACGUAAGAAGCAAGAACGGAACGCGCAGCAGCGGAAACGGCGAGCUGAGCUGUCCAGUGAACAAAGAGAAGAAAUUAAUAGAAAACAAUGCGAAUACAGGGCACGGGCAUCACUCGGCGAUAUCACCAACACACAGACCUCAGAUCAAGCCGGUGCGGUAGAUGAUGCCGAACAUAGGAAGCAAGAACGGAACACGCAGCAGCGGAAACGGCGAGCGGAACAAAGAGAAGAGAUUAAUAGGAAACAACGCGAAUACAGAACGGAACAAAGAGAAGAGAUUAAUAUGAAACAACGCGAAUACAGAGCACGAAAAAAGGCUGAAUCAAACCACACUAUCCCAACAACCAUCGUCACUCCAACUGUGCCAUCAACCUCUUUGACAGAGGGGGGACUACGAAUGUCCGAUGUUGGGGACACCUUUCUCGAUGCUGCUACAUGUACUGACCAUGAUUUCAAACCUAUUGAUAUGCUGGGUGCAACUAAGCAAGAACCACAUAAUUUGGUUCAAGUGUCAACAGAAAUUGAUGUGCAACAAGAAGCACAGGGAGAUGAAGGAAAUAACAAUGGUGUUGAUGCUGUCACAGAGGUGGACCACAAUUUAAAAUCAGUUCAAAUGUUGCUUUCAACUGAGGACGGGCAUCAUGCACGUGCUGACCAUCUCGAUAUGGACAAUCAAAUAAAGGAAGGACAUCCCCAUCCUGACCACGUUGAAGACCCUUUGGAAGAUGCUGUCAAAGGUCCUGGCCAUGAUGAGCAGGUGUGCUAGAACAGAUCAGCAAGUCAUCAAGCUCUAACCAAGAAAAUGAGCUGCGGACAUUGAUUAGGAUAUCACAACAUAACAAACCAAAGAAGUCGAACAUAGCUCAAGUUCUGCCCUAAGAUUAUAUGUGAACCAUACAAGAUAUUGAGAUUAUUGAAUACAUAAAAUCAUUACCGGCGGAAACAGUUGUGGUGAACAUCGAUAGUGCAUGGUUAAAUAGAAAAGAUAUGGAAUGUCUUUUCAAUGGUGACAUGCAAUUGGAUGGCGAAGCCCUAAGUGCAUAUAUUCAUUGUAUGAGGGAUGAAGAGCAUCUACUUUGUAGAGAAGGUGGAAAGGUCUUCUUGGAGAAUACAUUCAUUUCAAGCCUACUCAAGCGUGAUGGUGAUCCUGAUGUGGUCUUAAAUUAUAAGGAAGAC